AUAAGAGACUCUUUUUCUAUGAAUUAGCAUCUUCUGACUUUUUCGAUUCCAGUCUUCCUAUUUUUGAGUUCAUCGGAUCUAUCCUCUAUUGUUGCAUCCGGACUCAUCGCUAACAUUUCGUCCACCAUUUCUAAUGAUUCUUUCACGAUUCACCAAGUCUUGCACUGUGCACGGUACCUCUUCCAUCCAGUAUUGAUGACCAUCGAACUUCUUUCCUCCCAUCACCAUUUCAUGCGCCACCGUAUUUGCUUCUCUUGUUUUCUGAUGACCGUCAACUCAUCUCCUUCAACACAUAUUUCGCGAAAACCCAUUUCUUCCGCCAUGGUGACAGCCUGUACACAUGCCUUGGCUUCAGCCGUUGUUGGAUCUGUAAUAUUCUCACAUGGGUAAGUACACGAUGCCAUAACCAAACCAUCUUUAUUACGCGCAACUAUUCCUAACACUGAUGAAUAAUGGUUCUGAUUAUAGGAUGUAUCAAAAUUGAUUUUUAUGAUAUUAAAUAUAACACACAUAAAUUUUGAUAUGGUAUAAUUUCAUAAUGUAACACUAUCAAAUUUUUAAUUUUUAAAUUUAAAAUUACAAUAAACUUAAUUAUCAAAUUGAAAUUCAAGUAAUAAAACGAAAAAUAUUAAUUUUUGUUCACAUGUAGAAAGAGAAAGCUACAACUCCCAUGUUACAAAGGCAUCUACAGAUCAGAAACCCAAGACCAUAUGAAAGACCUGCAAAAGAUAAAAGACUGGCAAUGGGUGCAAUCAUAUCAUGUCAUAUAAAACAUCCCCAAAGAAGCACAAGUAUCUUUGUAUCUCACAACCCGAAACCCAAUCGAAUAUCAUUUCCCCUUCAUUAUUGUUAUUAUGAAUUUCUGGGAAAGUUAAGACUGGAAGUGACCAAUGAGGGUCAAUGGCAUAAAAAAAAAUAAUAAUAAAAAGAAAAAACAUACCACAUGCCGUGUUUCA